rnacentral:misc_RNA from 1 species
GGCCUUUUUGCUACCAAGAGUCAGGGGUUGAGUCUAUCUGAUAAAAUCAGCAUAGCUGCUUUGGGUGAAUAUCUGAUCGAUGGGGAUCCAGAAAAUAAACUCAGAAAAGCCGUGGAAGAAGUACGUCCAAAGGAUCAUGCAGAAUGUAAAAGAUUAGCUACUAAAUACUGCGACCAACUAUAUCAGAUAUACCUUAACAAGGAGGAUCGUUUGUUCCUCCCAAUCUGUAAGUUCUAGUU